AUGACACCCCCGGUGGCCCUUCGGAACGAGCUACAGGGGGUCUCCAGUUCAGCAAGGGCUGAUCUGUUCCGAGGCGCCAGCUGCAACAUCGAGAGUGAGGUGCUGGCAACUUUGGCAAAUGGCCAGGACCCACAUGCUUCAGGAACAAACACCGGCUUCAGAGUCAGACACAUUAGGCUCCCCAGCGGGGAUACCUACUCCGGUACAUUGUUGGGAAGCACGCCGGAGGGUUCAGGGCGGUAUACCUGGUCAGAUGGUACUAUUUAUGAUGGCGAGUGGAGGACGGGGAUGAGGCAUGGGCAAGGAAAGACGUUGUGGCCUUCCGGGGCCAGCUAUGAGGGCGAGUAUGCCGGUGGAUACAUAUAUGGUGAAGGCACGUACACUGGACAGGAUAACAUCGUCUACAAGGGACGGUGGAAGCUGAACCGUAAGCAUGGUCUCGGAUGCCAGACGUAUCCUAAUGGAGACAUGUUCCAAGGUUCUUGGAUUCAGGGAGAAAUACAAGGUCACGGAAAGUACACAUGGGAAAAUGGGAACACGUACACCGGCAAUAUGAAAAAUGGCAAGAUGUCCGGAAAGGGAACAUUUACUUGGAAAAACGGUGAUUCGUACGAAGGCAACUGGUUAGAUGGCAUGAUGCACGGGUAUGGUAUCUAUACAUGGAGUGAUUGUGGGUACUAUGUCGGAACCUGGACCAGGGGAUUGAAGGAUGGGAAAGGUACAUUAUAUCCUAGUGGUUGCAGAGUGCCUGCUGGUGAUGAGCUGUAUAUAAAAAACCUAAGGAACAGAGGUGUGCUGCCUGACCCUAGAAGGCAGAAUCAUGGUUCACGCAUACUUCACUCUUCGUCAGUUGACAUGGGAAAUAUGAAGGUUGGCAUAAAUCGGGACUCUGCCUCGUCUAGAAGGAACUCAAGUGAUUCAAGAAAUGUGUCCUUGGAAAGAAGGUGGAGUCUUGAGGUAGCUAUUGAGAAAUUCAUCGGAAAUGAAAAUAGUGAAACCUCUGAAAACAUUGAUGAUUCUGAGUUGCCUAUACUUGAAAGGGAAUACAUGCAAGGUGUUCUAAUCAGCGAGGUAGUACUUGACAGGAGUUUUUCGGGCUCAUCCAAGAAGGCAAAGCGCCGGCAGAAGAAGACGGUGAGAGAGACUAAAAAACCCGGAGAGGCAAUAAUUAAGGGUCAUAGAAGCUAUGAUCUAAUGCUAAGCUUGCAGCUUGGAAUCAGGUACACAGUUGGAAAGAUAACACCCAUUCAAAAACGUGAAGUUCGUGCUUCAGAUUUUGGUCCAAGAGCAAGUUUCUGGAUGAACUUCCCAAAGGAAGGAUCACGACUUACUCCUUCGCAUCCUGCAGAGGAUUUUAAAUGGAAGGACUAUUGUCCCAUGGUUUUCAGAAACUUGAGAGAGAUGUUCAAGAUUGAUGCUGCCGAUUAUAUGAUCUCCAUAUGUGGAAAUUCUGCACUUAGGGAGCUAUCUUCUCCUGGAAAGAGUGGAAGUGUAUUCUUCCUAUCACAAGAUGAUCGGUUCAUGAUUAAGACUCUCCGGAAAUCUGAAGUGCAGGUUCUUUUACGAAUGCUUCCAAACUAUUAUAAUCAUGUCCAUACUUACGAGAACACACUCAUAACUAAGUUUUUUGGCCUGCACAGGGUAAAACCUUCUAGUGGUCAAAAGUUCCGUUUUGUUGUAAUGGGAAAUAUGUUCUGCACAGAAUUAAGAAUUCACCGGAGAUUUGAUUUGAAAGGUUCAUCCUUAGGCCGUUCUACUGACAAAAUUGAAAUCGAUGAGAACACAACUCUGAAGGAUUUGGAUCUGAACUAUUCCUUUUAUCUGGAACCUUCUUGGCGAGAGGCUCUACUUAAGCAGAUAAAGACCGAUAGCGAAUUUCUGAAGUCACAACGGAUAAUGGAUUACAGUCUACUGCUUGGUGUCCAUUACAGAGCUCCUCAGCAUCUACGAACACGUGCUUCAUAUCGUCGAACCAUGACAGCAGAGAGAUUGACAGUUCUUUCAGAGGAAGAUGCCCAGGAGGAUGAUGCUUUUAACUACCCAGAAGGAUUGGUUCUGGUUCAAAGAGCAAACGACGAGAACAGUGUGGUCGUUGGGCCUCACAUAAGGGGAAGCCGAUUGCGGUCCUCGGCUGCUGGAUUUGGGGAAGUAGAUCUCCUGCUUCCUGGCACAGCUAGGGUUCAGAUCCAGCUGGGGGUGAACAUGCCGGCGAGGGCGGAGCAGAUCCCCAAGGAGGAUGACAGCAAGUCGUUCUACGAGGUGUAUGACGUGGUGCUCUACCUGGGCAUCAUCGACAUCCUGCAGGAGUACAACAUCACCAAGAAGAUCGAGCACGCCGUCAAGUCGAUGCAGUACGACUCGGUCUCCAUCUCCGCGGUCGACCCCGAGUUCUACUCGGAGCGCUUCCUCAAGUUCAUCCAGACCGUCUUCCCCGAGAACUCGUAG
rnacentral:rRNA from 1 species